rnacentral:rRNA from 1 species
UACGGAAGGCAGCAGGUGGGGAAUAUUGCACAAUGGGCGAAAGCCUGAUGCAGCUAUGCCGCGUGUAUGAAGAAGGCCUUAGGGUUGUAAAGUACUUUCAUCGGGGAGGAAAAACAAAACUAAUAAUUUUAUUUCUUGACGUUACCCGAAAAAGAAGCACCGGCUAACUCCGUGCCAGCAGCCGCGGUAAUACGGAGGGUGCUAGCGUUAAUCAGAAUUACUGGGCGUAAAGAGCACGUAGGUGGUUUUUUUAAGUCAGAUGUGAAAUCCCUGGGCUUAACCUGGAAACUGCAUUUUGAAACUGAAAUACUAGAGUAUCGUAGAGGGAGGUAGAAUUCUAGGUGUAGCGGUGAAAUGCGUAGAUAUCUGGAGGAAUACCUGUGGCGAAAGCGGCCUCCUAAACGAAUACUGACACUGAGGUGCGAAAGCGUGGGGAGCAAACAGGGAUUAGAUACC